rnacentral:RNase_P_RNA from 1 species
GGAGUCGGCCAGGCAGCCGCCCGGCCGCGUGCCGGGAGGAAAGUCCGGGCUCCAGCGUGACAGGGUGCCAGGUAACGCCUGGGGGGCGCGAGCCCACGGAAAGUGCCACAGAAAAUAUACCGCCGGCCCCGGCCGGUAAGGGUGAAAUGGUGCGGUAAGAGCGCACCGCGCGGGUGGUAACACGCCGCGGCACGGCAAACCCCACCCGGAGCAAGACCAAAUAGGGGAGCAGCGCGGGCUUCGGUCCGCGCACCGGCGUCCGCCCGGGCUCCCGGGUAGGUCGCAUGAGGCCGCCGGUGACGGCGGUCCCAGAUGAAUGGUUGCCCUCGACAGAACCCGGCUUAUCGGCCGACUCCUUUU